rfam:Picea glauca, whole genome shotgun sequence.
AUCUAUAGUAACCACAACCAAGGGAAUUGGCUUGGAAGAAUCAGCAGGGAAAGAAGACCCUAUUGAGCUUGACUCUAGUUCGACUUUGUGAAAUGACUUGAGAGGUGUAGAAUAAGUGGAUUUCGGUUUCAACGCAAGCGAAAUACCACUACUUUUAAUGUUACUUUACUUAUUCUGUGGGGCAGAUAUAUUGCAUUGCACAUAUGUUAAAAUAUAAUGCACAUUUCCUCAGAGUGUUGUCAUUGAUGGCAAUGGUCGAGAUCUCAUUCUUCAUGCACUUGAUGGAAAUGAGUUUAGGAAACCAAAGAGGUUGAUCAUUGCUUUUAAGGACGAAGAAAGUUCCUACAAUCCCUAUGU